rnacentral:tRNA from 1 species
GGUAGCGUGGCCAAACUGUCUAAGGCACUGGAUUAAGGCUCCAGCCUCUGCGGGGCUGUAGGUUCAAAUCCCACCACUGCCA